CACGCGACCAUAAUAUACAUACCACCGCUCAUAUCCCAGCCCAGCCCCGCGAUCCUUAUAGGAAACAGCGGGAUCCAGAGAGAAAACCAGAUGCGACCAGCCAGAGGAGAGACAGCACGGCAGAGAGGUCACAGCAGAGCAGGUGGAACAGAACGGAGGGCACGCCAUCGGAUUGUGGUUUCCACACAGUGUACGCAACGCUCUCAAUCCUGAAGCUGGGUCGUGGUUAAGCCACACCCAGGCAACGCAAGUACACUUUUGAAAUAGUUAACAUACUACUAAAAAUUAUGCUGGCUGUGAAGGCUCUUCCCACUGCUGAGACUCUUUCUCUUUCUUUCCACAUCGGAGGCAUCGGCCAGUGCCAGUGAAGUAAGGAGGAGGAACCGACUGCUGGAAGGGACGGUAAUCGGGCUGGAGCAGAAGCAGCAACAGAAGUAGCAGAAGGUGUGUGUCUGGCUGUGGCAGUCCACCCAUCAGGUCCUGAAGGAGACCAGGGAGUCUACAGGGGAAGCCUAAAUCCCGCCAGGAGGAGGAGGAGGAAGAGGAGGAGGAGGAGCAGGC